rnacentral:rRNA from 1 species
UUUCGCAAUGCCCGAAAGGGUGACGAAGCGACGCCGCGUGUGGGAAGAAGGCCUUCGGGUUGUAAACCACUGUCGGGAGUUAGGAAAUGUAAGGGUGCUAAUAGUAUCCUUACUUGACUAAGGCUCCGGAGGAAGCCACGGCUAACUCUGUGCCAGCAACCGCGGUGAUACAGAGGCGGCAAGCGUUGUUCGGAAUUAUUGGGCGUAAAGAGCACGUAGGCGGCCUUGUAAGUCAGUUGUGAAAGCCUUCUGCUUAACGGAAGAACAGCAGCUGAUACUGCAAGGCUAGAGUGCGGAAGGGGAGAGUGGAACUUCUGGUGGAGCGGUGAAAUGCGUAGAUAUCAGAAGGAACACCGGCGGCGAAGGCGACUCUCUGGUCCGUAACUGACGCUGAGUGUGCGAAAGCUAGGGGAGCAAACGGGAUUAGAUACCCCGGUAGUCCUAGCCGUAAACGAUGGGCACUAAGUAGAGGGGUUUUA